AUGAAAGCACACGUCAAAGAAGAAGAAAAAAAGAGAAAUUGGAAAAGGAAUACACACAUCUCUUGGAGUAGAAAUCAUAUUUUCUUAGGAAUUGGAAUUAUAAUUCUUGUUUUUUCUUCUUUUUUCUCCUUUCUUUGGGACCUGCGGUUGCGUACAGGAUGGCGGUCAGCUGCAGCUGAGGUCCUUAGGACCCCGCCAAUUAGCCAACGGCUGUAAAAAUAUGCUCGAAGAGCCCAAAUAAAGAAUGAGAAACAGGAAUCUUGAAGAGGAAUAAUUAUUUUAUUAUUUUUUCUUUGUAAUUUCCUUUCCAUGAAUAAAGAGAUGAUCUAAGCCGGUCAACAUUUAAUUCCUUUAGCAAGAUCUUCCGUUUGCUCUUCAAUGAAUGAAAGGA
rnacentral:ribozyme from 11 species